UACGUGGGGGCCGAGCGUUGUCCGGAGUUACUGGGCGUAAAGGGCGCGCAGGCGGCGGCGUGGGUCCGGCGUGAAAGCCCCCGGCUCAACCGGGGAACGUCGUCGGGGACCGCGCCGCUUGAGGGCGGCAGGGGCCGGUGGAAUGCCUGGUGUAGUGGUGAAAUGCGUAGAGAUCAGGCGGAACACCCGUGGCGAAGGCGGCCGGCUGGGCCGUCCCUGACGCUGAGGCGGCGAAGGCGGUGGGGAGCGAACGGG
rnacentral:rRNA from 1 species